AGAGUUUGAUCCUGGCUCAGGAUGAACGCUGGCGGCGUGCCUAACACAUGCAAGUCGAACGAAGCUUGACGGAUGAUUUCUUCGGAAUGAAACCAGAUAUGACUUAGUGGCGGACGGGUGAGUAACACGUGAGCAACCUGCCUUUCAGAGGGGGAUAACGGCUGGAAACGGUCGCUAAUACCGCAUGACGUGUUCGGAUGGCAUCAUCUGAACAUCAAAGAUUUAUCGCUGAAAGAUGGGCUCGCGUCUGAUUAGAUAGUUGGUGGGGUAACGGCCUACCAAGUCGACGAUCAGUAGCCGGACUGAGAGGUUGAACGGCCACAUUGGGACUGAGAUACGGCCCAGACUCCUACGGGAGGCAGCAGUGGGGAAUAUUGCACAAUGGGGGAAACCCUGAUGCAGCGACGCCGCGUGAGUGAAGAAGUAUUUCGGUAUGUAAAGCUCUAUCAGCAGGGAAGAAAAUGACGGUACCUGACUAAGAAGCCCCGGCUAACUACGUGCCAGCAGCCGCGGUAAUACGUAGGGGGCAAGCGUUAUCCGGAUUUACUGGGUGUAAAGGGAGCGUAGACGGCAAGGCAAGUCUGAAGUGAAAGCCCGGUGCUUAACGCCGGGACUGCUUUGGAAACUGUUUAGCUGGAGUGCCGGAGAGGUAAGCGGAAUUCCUAGUGUAGCGGUGAAAUGCGUAGAUAUUAGGAGGAACACCAGUGGCGAAGGCGGCUUUCUGGACGACAACUGACGCUGAGGCGCGAAAGUGUGGGGAGCAAACAGGAUUAGAUACCCUGGUAGUCCACACUGUAAACGAUGAUAGCUAGGUGUGGGGGGUCUGACCCCUUCCGUGCCGGAGUUAACGCAAUAAGCUAUCCACCUGGGGAGUACGACCGCAAGGUUGAAACUCAAAGGAAUUGACGGGGGCCCGCACAAGCAGUGGAUUAUGUGGUUUAAUUCGAAGCAACGCGAAGAACCUUACCAGGUCUUGACAUCCGACUAACGAGAUAGAGAUAUGUCAGGUGCCCUUCGGGGAAAGUCGAGACAGGUGGUGCAUGGUUGUCGUCAGCUCGUGUCGUGAGAUGUUGGGUUAAGU
rnacentral:rRNA from 1 species